GGAGUUAGCCGGUGCUUCUUCUGUGAGUGAUGUCCUUCCUGCCGGCUAUUAACCCGCAGGCCUUCUUCCUCACUGAAAGUGCUUUACAACCCGAAGGCCUUCUUCACACACGCGGCAUGGCUGGAUCAGGGUUGCCCCCAUUGUCCAAUAUUCCCCACUGCUGCCUCCCGUAGGAGUCUGGGCCGUGUCUCAGUCCCAGUGUGGCUGAUCAUCCUCUCAGACCAGCUACGGAUCGUCGCCUUGGUGAGCCGUUACCUCACCAACCAGCUAAUCCGACAUAGGCUCAUCCGAUAGCGCGAGGCCCGAAGGUCCCCCGNUUUCCCCCGUAGGGCGUAUGCGGUAUUAGCCUGGGUUUCCCCCAGGUUAUCCCCCACUACCGGGCAGAUUCCUAUGCAUUACUCACCCGUCCGCCGCUCGCCACCAGGGAGCAAGCUCCCCGUGCUGCCGCUCGACUUGCAUGUGUUAGGCCUGCCGCCAGCGUUCAAUCUGAGCCAGAAUCAAACUCUGA
rnacentral:rRNA from 1 species